UAAAUACUACCUUCGUCCGGAAAUACUUAUCCUAAAAAUGGAUAUAAUGGAUGUAUCUAUAAUUAAAAUAAGUCUAGAUACAUUCAUUUCUAGGAAAAGUAUUUCCGGACGGAGGGAGUAUAAG
rnacentral:pre_miRNA from 1 species